rnacentral:rRNA from 1 species
GACGAACGCUGGCGGCGUGCUUAACACAUGCAAGUCGAACGGAAAGGCCCUGCUUUUGUGGGGUGCUCGAGUGGCGAACGGGUGAGUAACACGUGAGUAACCUGCCCUUGACUUUGGGAUAACUUCAGGAAACUGGGGCUAAUACCGGAUAGGAGCUCCUGCUACAUGGUGGGGGUUGGAAAGUUUCGGCGGUUGGGGAUGGACUCGCGGCUUAUCAGCUUGUUGGUGGGGUAGUGGCUUACCAAGGCUUUGACGGGUAGCCGGCCUGAGAGGGUGACCGGCCACAUUGGGACUGAGAUACGGCCCAGACUCCUACGGGAGGCAGCAGUGGGGAAUAUUGCACAAUGGGCGGAAGCCUGAUGCAGCAACGCCGCGUGCGGGGUGACGGCCUUCGGGUUGUAAACCGCUUUCGCCUGUGACGAAGCGUGAGUGACGGUAAUGGGUAAAGAAGCACCGGCUAACUACGUG